rnacentral:lncRNA from 1 species
GUCGUUCAACCGUAGUUAAACCUUUUCUGAUUUUUUGAUGUCGAAGGCACAUAGCCUGAGUCCCCGUUCAACCGUGGUUGAACUUUUGGUCGAAGGCACGUAGACCGAACUGUAGUUCAACCGUAUUUGAACCUUUUGUGUUUUUUUUUAAGUCGAAGACGCAUAGACUGAGUUCCCAUUCAACCGUAGUUGAACCCUUUGGCUUUCCCUCACAACCCGCUUUGUGCUAGGCGUUGGGAUUUGUUUCUGGUUUCGGGUCUUGCCUAACUCGUGCUUGUACUCUUCUCGACUGGUUCGCACAGGUUACCCCGUUACAGAUCUCGGUUCGAGAUGCUUUUGUGCUUUCCUCCUUUUU